rnacentral:rRNA from 3 species
UUUGGUGAUGAUGGCGGAGGGGUUCCACGCGUACCCAUCCCGAACACGACCGUUAAGCCCUCCAGCGCCGAUGGUACUUGGACCGAAGGGUCCUGGGAGAGUAGGACGUCGCCAAGC